UUACAAUAUGCUGAAAGGUUAUUAUGGAGUUUUUUGCCCAAUGAUGCCAAAAAUAUACUGCCUACUCCCUCUUUAAGUGUGUGUUAUGCGUGCACUUAGAGCUGAGGAGAAUUAACAUCAGGAAUGUGCUCAUGUCUGGUGAUAGCUGCCAAGUAAAAUGGGGCUCCGUCAUGCAGGACAACCUGGACCUGUUUGGAUUGUACCCGUCAGAUCUGAGCAGUCAAUCUACGCGAGCCUUUGUGGCAGUGAGAGGCAGCAGAAGCUAUUAAGCCGAGCAGAGUAAUCAAAUGUGAACUUAAUGAAGAGCUGUUUGGAUGUCUGGCUGAGAUUUCACCAUGUACUCAGCCCCAGAGUGGUAAUCAACCACGACUGCUAUUUGUACUAGAGUGAGUGUGGGAGCUCAGACGGCGGAGGCUGCGACCUCCCUCACUUCCACAUGAGGAUUAAAUCGAAUUCAGCAGCGGAGUUGGGGACCGAGCACAAAACCACAAGGUGUGUGCCGCCAUUAUCAAGUUAGUCAGUUUAGACAAAUCCCUUUGCCACACCACCGCCGGAGCACACGCUGUACGACGUAUAGCUGCACAGGGAGAAAAAUGACAAUUAAGCCUACUUAGCAUGCUGCCGAGGGAAACGCAUUAAAGAAGAUUAUAUGAAAUUCUUUAGUGCCUUUUCAUAAGACUGGUACAAGUCUCAGUGUGACGCAUGAGCUCCUCUAGAAGGUUCUCUCACAUUCACUACACAUGUGCUAAAAUAACCUGAGCGCUGCUGUGACACCUGCAGAUAACAGACAGACAAACUCCUCGCCAUGACUUUGUAAAGAUGAAACCGUGAUUAAGAAGUAACACAGGAAAUCUUAAUCACUGAUCUUGUGAAUAUUGAUAUACAGAUUUUACAUUUGAGCCUGAAGUUUGCUGCCAUUUUUAGGAGUGCUACCUUUCAAAUAAGCUGACAUGAAAGUUAGAAGCACUUUCAGUAGGGGGGUAAGAAAAUAUUGAGUAUCGCAAUAUUAUGUUUGGUGAUACUAUAUCGAUUCUCAACAAUAAUAUAGAUUUUUAGUUAAUAGUUUAUAUGCAGAGAUUAACUCAGUCAAUACUUUAUUUCUUUUUUUUGCACAGACAUGCGUCCUGUCAGUGUAUCUGUGAUAAACGCAAAUGCAGUUUAUCAAAUCUGAUUGCACAAAAAAAUGUAAACUUGUUUUAACUCAGAUUUUAUGCAUAUGAUAUGCAAUAUAUUGAAUCGUAACCCCUGUAUCAUGAUAUGUAUCGUAUCGCUAGAUUCUUGCCAACACACGACCCUAACUGUCAGUCAAAGUCACCUUUUCGCUUCCUGCAAGAGAGUAAGAUGAGAAGAUUGGUACCACUCUCUUUCGAUCAGUUUAGCUUAGCACAAAGACUGGAAACGGGGGGAAACAGCUAGCCUGACUCUGGCCAAAGGUAACACAAUCUGCCUACCAGCAACUCUGACGCUCACUAAUUAACAAAUUAUAUUUUGUUUGUUUAAUCUGUACAGAAAGUGGACGAGUGUAAAAACUACAAUUUGCCAUUUUCUUGGCUGUGAGCAGUUGCCAGGCAACCAGGAAGGAAGUUACUGCCCCCAGCUAAGAAUGAGGUUGCGUCCGAAAUUCCAUACUAACAUGCUAUUUAGCAGAGAUUUUUUUAGUAUGUCCGAAUCCCUAGUAUGAAACAAAUAGUACGUGAAUUGCUACUAUUUCUGGUAAAAUAUAAAUAUCCCACAAUGCAACGCGGUAGUGACGACAGCAUUCAUAACAGACGGUGAAGGACAGCUCUGUAACAUCAAUAACGCUUCAAUUUAACACUAAGGCCCAUGAUGCACCUCCGCCCAGCUCGCUGCAGCUGUGAUGGAAGCCAGGUCGAAAGAAGCCCAGAGAGGGGAAACAGAGCCAGAUGGAUUACCUCAUCAAUCAAAGUUCCCAGAAUCACGUCCUCUGUGUGUGUGUGUGUGUGUCCCACCAAUGCAGUGUCUCCAUUCAGUAGGAAAACAGUGUGAGGUAUACUCACUGCAGCCAUUUUGUAAUGACAAAAACAAGAUAUUUCAAGUAAUUACUUUAUUAUUCCUCUCUAUUCAAAUGCUCAUUCUGUGGGGGAGUCGCACAGGAAACUGCUAAUCUCGCCCAAAGCCUUUUUAACGAGAAAUUGCAUUAUCAAAAUGUCUUGGGGUGGCCGUGACAUAUUACGGAUGUCAGUAACCUUUUACGGUUGCUGAGAAGGACACACUAGAAGAAAUCUAAAAUCAGAAAAAUAAUCCAAGACAUCACAUGGCAGGGAGGAAGAGCAAGACAGGGGCUUUUACUUUGACAAAUAAAAGUACAUUUUAAAUAAGUUGUUGCAAGUAUAUGUCCAGUCAUAAGAAAAAAAAUACUUUUAGAAGACUUUUUAAAGUCAUAAUAUUAUAUUAUGUUUUUAUUUUUUUUAAAGGGUGACCAGCGCCCCUCAGAAGGUGGUGCCCUAGGCAACCGCCUAUAUGGCCCAUGCCUUAAGCCGGCCCUAUUACAAUUUUAACAAUGCAUUAGUGAUACAAAUUGAUUUUAAAAAAAAAAAACAGACAUAUUCAUUGAUUUUAAUCAAGAAUAGCAAAGUCAAAAAUGGCGCUAUCAGAGUUCAAAGAUCUUGCCCCCCCCCUUUAGGUUUUCUAACAGAGAGGAAGCUUCACAAUGUCGUACAGUCUCUGUAAUUUUCUUUCCUCCUCGAAAGGAACAAUUAUGGAGCGGGCGAUGCUGAUAACACCUAAGGAAUUCGAGGCAUGCACAAACAGCCCUUCCCCCAUCCGCUCAGCUCUCUCUCCCCUUCCCCCUUACCCUCGUCCCCUUCUCUCCUUCCCUCCUACUCCAUCACCGGGCUUCGCUUUCUGCCUCUUUACACUCAAAUCUGUUGCUCGGAUUACUUCCAGCUGGAACAUAGAGUAAAUAGAACACUCAAGAGAUUCUUGAAAAGUAAUUUACAAAAAGAAAACAAAAAAAGACGUAGAAGAAAAUCUGAGUUUUUUUUCAAUCAGGUUCUGCUGGACUCGAUAGAAAUAGUUGUGAUAUUGUGCCAGAAGACGUGUUAGGGCCAGAAUUGUUAUGCCUUUUAAUCACAAAUACAAAGUUUCUCUAUGUGUUCUAUUUGUUUUUGAGGGAGACCCUUACACAAUGGAUGCAUAUAGAUCUCAUAAACAAAAGUCAUUAAACUGGAUGUAUAAACUUUAUAGGCUCUGUAGGUUCAGCUCUAAUUUGAAGAACCUAUAUACUGGGGAUGAAUUAAAAAAGUUUGAGGCUUUUGGCAGUCAGGGGUGCGAUGCACGUCUUUGCCAAGGGCCCCCAAAAACCUCGACCACACUGCUUUUGUUUGAGCUAUAAAAAAAGGAGACAAAAGUAAUGGUAUGGACAUGAUCUCACUACACAUAUACAUAUAUUUACCAUGAAAAUACAAGAGGGAUUUAUCCGUGUGGACACAUGCUACUGACAUUUAUUUGCUUUUUGUUCCCCUCAAGCCUUUCUCACCAAAACUUCCUCUUUCACACUCUCCCUCAAAAACACAUUCCAACCACAGGGAAUGCUUGACUGAUUGUCUGAGUGUGUGUGAGGGUGUGUAUGUGUGUGUGUGUGUGUGUGUGUGGUCUGUUCAGCAGACGUGUAAAGUAACUUCUCUCACGUGAAGCCAGCCCAUACACCCAUCUGUUUGUCUGUGCUGAAGAACACAUCAUUUUACUGUUUCUGACUGUAUUUACUACGACAGGGAUAUAAAUAGCGCCAAAAUAUCCUGCUGAUUUUUUCCCUGUUGAGUGAAAGCACAAUUAUAAUUGAACAUAUGCAGGUAAUAAAAAGUCAUUAAAAAAAAUGCUGUUUGUGAGCUCAAUAUGUGGUAUUUUAUUGUAUGUUCAUUAUAGCCUGAAAAAAUAGUUUAUUUUGAAAUUCACAUCAUUAUUUCUGACACUAACCAGUCGAGCAAAUGCCAAACGAAAACUGCUGCUGCUGGAUGAAUUAUGUGAGAUGUAUAUAUGGUUUAUGUCUUAUGAUAACUACCAUGGAUAACAUUUAUAGUUUGUUUAACUUGAGCUACAUGCAUGUGCAGAGAUUCCUUCUAGAUGUAGUUUCUGAUGAAGUCCAGGUCCGCUUUGUAAGAGUGUGUAUUAUUUUCUGCCCUUCUCACACAACUUCCAAGUGCAAACUUUUAAAACUGAACAUUUCCCUUUAUCCUCUUUUCUUUUUUUUGCCCGCUCCUUUAUGUUCAACCGCUGUGAGCUGUCCUUCCCCCUCUGUUAGCCAUUCUGACCUUGAACCCCACACUGACGGUCUCAAUGACCGAGCCCCUCUCUCACACAUGAACUCCCUGAACCCGUCCACGCCAUUCAUAUCCACUUUCCUAAACACACACAAAGGCUCUCCUUCCUCCCAAACAACAGCCCACUUUGAUGACAGAGGUUCACCCCCACGCCAUUGAUGCUGUUGUGUGUGUGUGUGUGUGUGUGUGUAUGUGUGUGUGUUGGUUGUUCACGUAGGCAAAGGGUGGAAGGGUGGAAGGGUGGUAUUUCCUCAACGGUGUUGUUCUUAAAUAGGUUGUAUAUACGGGUGGUAACGGUUUUGUUGUUUUUUAUGCUAAAGUUGCCCAUUAAGAUAGGAUAAGAUAAGAUUAUUUUAGAUAACCCAACCGGUUGAGACAGAUGGCUGCCCACCCAGACCCUUAUUCUACCCAAGGUUUCUAUCUGUCACACCUAGUGCAUGCUCAUGGGGGAACUCUUGUUGGUACU